rnacentral:rRNA from 1 species
AUUGAACGCUGGCGGCAGGCCUAACACAUGCAAGUCGAACGGUAACAGGAAGAAGCUUGCUUCUUUGCUGACGAGUGGCGGACGGGUGAGUAAUGUCUGGGAAACUGCCUGAUGGAGGGGGAUAACUACUGGAAACGGUAGCUAAUACCGCAUAACGUCGCAAGACCAAAAAGGGGGACCUUCGGGCCUCUUGCCAUCGGAUGUGCCCAGAUGGGAUUAGCUAGUAGGUGGGGUAACGGCUCACCUAGGCGACGAUCCCUAGCUGGUCUGAGAGGAUGACCAGCCACACUGGAACUGAGACACGGUCCAGACUCCUACGGGAGGCAGCAGUGGGGAAUAUUGGACAAUGGGCGCAAGCCUGAUGCAGCCAUGCCGCGUGUAUGAAGAAGGCCUUCGGGUUGUAAAGUACUUUCAGUGGGGAGGAAGGGAGGAAAGUUAAUACCUUUGCUCAUUGACGUUACCCGCAGAAGAAGCACCAGCUAACUCCGUG